CUGGCCCCGCGUGAAGGCCAGCGUUUGCCGAAGCUGCUGGGUUCAGGCAGGGGCCCAAAGAAAUGUCUUUCUGCGGCCUCUUGGCCGUCUCAGAGCUUAGGAAGUGUAGCGGUCAGCUCAUCAGAAAGAAACAUCU
rfam:Myotis davidii contig170636, whole genome shotgun sequence.